rnacentral:rRNA from 1 species
ACGAACGCUGGCGGCGUGCUUCACCCCUGCCAGUCGCACGGAAAGGCCCUGCUUUUGUGGGGUGCUCGAGUGGCGAACGGGUGAGUAACACGUGAGUGACCUGCCCUUGACUUUGGGAUAACUUCAGGAAACUGGGGCUAAUACCGGAUAGGAGCUCCUGCUGCAUGGUGGGGGUUGGAAAGUUUCGGCGGUUGGGGAUGGACUCGCGGCUUAUCAGCUUGUUGGUGGGGUAGUGGCUUACCAAGGCUUUGACGGGUAGCCGGCCUGAGAGGGUGACCGGCCACAUUGGGACUGAGAUACGGCCCAGACUCCUACGGGAGGCAGCAGUGGGGAAUAUUGCACAAUGGGCGGAAGCCUGAUGCAGCAACGCCGCGUGCGGGAUGACGGCCUUCGGGUUGUAAACCGCUUUCGCCUGUGACGAAGCGUGAGUGACGGUAAUGGGUAAAGAAGCACCGGCUAACUACGUG